rnacentral:rRNA from 1 species
AAUGGGUCAGCGACUUAUAUUCUGUAGCAAGGUUAACCGAAUAGGGGAGCCGAAGGGAAACCGAGUCUUAACUGGGCGUUAAGUUGCAGGGUAUAGACCCGAAACCCGGUGAUCUAGCCAUGGGCAGGUUGAAGGUUGGGUAACACUAACUGGAGGACCGAACCGACUAAUGUUGAAAAAUUAGCGGAUGACUUGUGGCUGGGGGUGAAAGGCCAAUCAAACCGGGAGAUAGCUGGUUCUCCCCGAAAGCUAUUUAGGUAGCGCCUCGUGAAUUCAUCUCCGGGGGUAGAGCACUGUUUCGGCAAGGGGGUCAUCCCGACUUACCAACCCGAUGCAAACUGCGAAUACCGGAGAAUGUUAUCACGGGAGACACACGGCGGGUGCUAACGUCCGUCGUGAAGAGGGAAACAACCCAGACCGCCAGCUAAGGUCCCAAAGUCAUGGUUAAGUGGGAAACGAUGUGGGAAGGCCCAGACAGCCAGGAUGUUGGCUUAGAAGCAGCCAUCAUUUAAAGAAAGCGUAAUAGCUCACUGGUCGAGUCGGCCUGCGCGGAAGAUGUAACGGGGCUAAACCAUGCACCGAAGCUGCGGCAGCGACACUAUGUGUUGUUGGGUAGGGGAGCGUUCUGUAAGCCUGUGAAGGUGUACUGUGAGG